rnacentral:rRNA from 1 species
UACGGGGGGGGCAAGCGUUGUUCGGAAUUACUGGGCGUAAAGGGCUCGUAGGUGGCCAACUAAGUCGGACGUGAAAUCCCUCGGCUUAACCGGGGAACUGCAUCCGAUACUGGAUGGCUUGAGUUCGGGAGAGGGAUGCGGAAUUCCAGGUGUAGCGGUGAAAUGCGUAGAUAUCUGGAGGAACACCGGUGGCGAAGGCGGCGAUCCUGGACCGACACUGACGCUGAGGAGCGAAAGCCAGGGGAGCAAACGGGG